CAAUAGCGUAUAUUUAAGUUGUUGCAGUUAAAAAGCUCGUAGUUGGAUUUCGGUUGAGAGCGGCCGGUCCGCCGUUUGGUGUGCACUGGUUGGUUUUAACUUCCUGUAGAGGACGUGCUCUGGGUUUAACGACCUGGACUCGGAGUCUACGUGGUUACUUUGAAAAAAUUAGAGUGUUCAAAGCGGGCUUACGCUUGAAUAUUUCAGCAUGGAAUAACACUAUAGGACUCCUGUCCUAUUUCGUUGGUCUCGGGACGGGAGUAAUGAUUAAGAGGAACAGUUGGGGGCAUUCGUAUUUCAUUGUCAGAGGUGAAAUUCUUGGAUUUAUGAAAGACGAACUUCUGCGAAAGCAUUUGCCAAGGAUGUUUUCAUUA
rnacentral:rRNA from 1 species